CAAAUUUAAACGAACAUUGUUCACAAAUGACUAAUAAAACCCUUGCCACUAAAGGGGUAACAAUUAUACAAAAUUUAGGUCGUUGAAGGAUCACCAAUCGUCUCACGAACAGAAUUAAUUAGUUAAUCCAAAAUACUCCAUUUGCACCACAACUCCGAAAUUCAACCAACACACAUGCUUAACGAACACUUGCAAUGACUAAAUCGAGUAAAAGCGAUAAACUAUACCUUCGUGAACUGAAAACCAAACAAAAAACGGAUUGAAAAAUAUUUACAAAAAAUUAAAAUAUGGAAUGCAAGGAUUGAAAGCACCAAACGCC
rnacentral:lncRNA from 1 species